rnacentral:lncRNA from 1 species
CCAAACUCGUAUAACCAGAAAAGGUACAAGCAUUUGAAACGAAGCAAUAUAUAAAAUGGCGGGCUAAAUAAAUUUUCCCUAUCUAUUUCUCUCUCAUCAUUCAAUUCAAACCCUCCCUUCAGAGAUCAACAAAUUCGCAGGAAGAAGAGAAACUUAUCACAUAGAUGCAGAUGCAGAGCGGAGGAGAGAACAAUGUACGGACUCGCUUGGCGGAAACCCGAUUAAUAUGCGAGAGAGAAAUCCCCAUUCAGCAGCAGAGGAUCGAUUCCACCGUUAUCUCCGAGCGGAAUAUUUUCGAUUCUGUCAAGUCCAAGGCCCAACAAACCAUUCAUCUUCAAGGCGAAUUUUUAUCAUGCUUUUUGAACUUAUAUUGUUGUUGCCAUUGGGGUUUAUUUACUUUUUUUUUAGGGUUUAUAUACUUUUUGCUUCAUUGUUAAAUAACCUUGUUUUCAUUAGCUAGAUGUAGUUGUCAGAUCUAUAUUAGGAAUGUUUUGGGUUCUGGGAUUCUCUUAUUUUGUUGAUUAAGUAAAAGUUCUGAUUUUCUCCUUAAUUUUGUUACUGUACUCUUUCAGAAAGAUUGGGGAAGCUUAAAACUGAGUUAAGAGAAGCUGAGGAUGCUUUGGUAAAAGCUCUUUCCGGUACUCUCUCACUCUCUCUGCGCGCGCUCAAGCACAAAUGCUAAUAACCUUUUAGUUGCAUAUGUAUAUAACUAUCAGAUUGUUGAUUUUUUGGCAACAUAGCUGGAAACUUUCCUUCUAAAAGGUCUUUAUGUUUUGAUAUACUACUAAUGUUCUUUAGUCUGUUACACUAGUUUGACAGCUACCAGUCUUGGUAUGGUUAAUAAAAUAUUAAUGGCUUUAAGAAACUAUGUAGUUGAGGAACUUAAGACAGAUUUUGCUCAUGGGAGAAGAAAGAUGUAUUUCUUGGUUUCUUGAAAAAUGGUAUGGAUGUUUCAGGUUGUACUUAAAUUUUUUAAUGUGGUUCCUGAUUCCCUCAUGAUUGUUGGAUUGUUUAACUUGAGGUUGUUUGAUAAAGUUUAUUUUCUAUUAGCAUUACAUGCUGAGCAUUCCUUUUAAAACUGGAGUGCUCAAGUCUUAAGAACCAUCCAUGAGUGAAGAAGAACCAAGCACCUUAAUGAUUGUAUGUUGACUGGAUAAAAUGGCUCUAUCCAUGAAAAAAGAAAGCAUUUAUGAAAUACCCUUCAUGUUGAUUGUCUAUGGCCUUAAUGACAUGUUAAAUUUAUAUUUACUCUGAGGUCUGGAGUCAACUUGUAUUUUAGGAAAACAUAGUUACUUUAAUUUGGAGGGAAACUUAGUGGCUCUGAUUUUUUGCGUUUGUAAGACAGUUAUCUUACCGGUGAAUUGGAAAAAAAAACAGAGAAAAAAGAACUCUCUAUUUUUUUCUUCUAGGCUGUUUAAUACUUCUUGACCGCCAACUACUGUCUUUUUCCUUGUUUUGUCUUCUACAUUUGAGUUUUUCAGGUUAUUUUUCCAUUCACAAUCCUAUGUACCAAUAAAAAGGAUUUGUUGCUUAAAGGAUUAAGGUGCCUCAAAUGUUAUUAUUUCUUUGAGUUUCCUAAAUUUCUGUGAGUGUACUAGUUAUUUGCUGAAGAGUUGAACUUCAUCAAGCAUGUUUACUUC